CUACGUGCCAGCAGCCGCGGUAAUACGUAGGUGGCAAGCGUUGUCCGGAAUUAUUGGGCGUAAAGCGCGCGCAGGCGGAUCAGUCAGUCUGUCUUAAAAGUUCGGGGCUUAACCCCGUGAUGGGAUGGAAACUGCCAAUCUAGAGUAUCGGAGAGGAAAGUGGAAUUCCUAGUGUAGCGGUGAAAUGCGUAGAUAUUAGGAAGAACACCAGUGGCGAAGGCGACUUUCUGGACGAAAACUGACGCUGAGGCGCGAAAGCCAGGGGAGCGAACGGGAUUAGAUACCCCGGUAGUCCUGGCCGUAAACGAUGGGUACUAGGUGUAGGAGGUAUCGACCCCUUCUGUGCCGGAGUUAACGCAAUAAGUACCCCGCCUGGGGAGUACGACCGCAAGGUUGAAACUCAAAGGAAUUGACGGGGGCCCGCACAAGCGGUGGAGUAUGUGGUUUAAUUCGACGCAACGCGAAGAACCUUACCAGGUCUUGACAUUGAUGGACAGAACUAGAGAUAG
rnacentral:rRNA from 1 species